rnacentral:lncRNA from 1 species
CUCUCUCUCUCUCUCUCUCUUUCCACACUCUCUCGCCUCCCCCUCUUCUCUACCCUUCGCCGCCCCCCUCCCCCCACCUCCGUCCUCUCGCCUUCGCCACCUUCCCACUAACCUUCGCCGCCCUCCCACCUCCGUCCUCUCGCCUCCGCCGCCCUCCCAUCUCCAUCCCUCUGGCCUCUCGCCGCCUCCACCGCCUUCCCACUGACCUUCGCCGCCCUCCCACCUCCGUCCUCUCGCCUCCGCCGCCUUCCCACUGACCUUCUUCCCCCUCUCUGAAUUCGCUCCACUGGCGCCGCGCGCUCCCUUCACCUCUAUUCUGCCGGCGUCGCCUCCCUCUUCCCCCUCUGUAAAUCCGC